rnacentral:lncRNA from 1 species
AACAAUCAUGCACUAAGACUUAUGGAUGCAUGGGAUCCUCAUAGACUUCCAAGGGUAGGUCAGCCUGCGGUUCCUCACUUUCUUCCUCAUCUGCGGGGGCAUGGAAAGAGUGAAUUCCAUACGCUCAGUAAGGAAAACAGUAUUAAAUUAACAUCGUAAGAUUUCAAAAAUUAAUUAUUUUAUCUUACCUUUUAACUUCCUUGUUUACCUAUUUCACAUUAUGGAAAAAUAUUUAUUUGUUAAGAAAACGAUAUGUUAACACAGAACAUCAAACAUACAUCAUGUUAGCUAAUAGAGAAAACUAAAUAAAUCAUGAAAUACUUAGGUUUUCGUGUCAUGCUUCUCGAAGUCGUUACAACUUCCAUCUCUGAGGGCAGAUACAGAUUUCCAACUUCCCAAGUGGAAUGACCAGAUCAGAUACAGAUAUAGAUACGACAAUUUACUCAGGCCCAUUUCCAGUUGGCCAAACCAUGGUACAAUUUAUGACCACGAUCAUACCAGCCAUAGUGGUCGUAACAGAUAUCCACAGUCAUGACAUUACUUAGCCACGAGUGACUCCUACAGAUAGUGCGACACCACUCUCGUUAAAGGGUACACCAUCAUCCACUGGGAGUGGUCCUCUUACAUCUUUCCAGACCAGAUAAGUGAAGGAGAAACAGAUACCCCGAAAAGCAAAGGGAACAGAUACCCCAAACAACAAAGUGAAUAGAUACCCCGAAGGGUAAGGGGAACAGAUACCCCUCAGAGAUAAAAAGUCUAACGAGACACUUGAUACAAUAUGCAUGUUAAUAUAGAUACACUUCGGACCAUACGAGCUUCAUUCCACUUUUUUUUUUGUGGUAUACUUUUUACUUUUACCGAUCACAUAUUAUAUUUAUUACAUGCAAAUUCGUCAAGCGUGUGCAAUUCACAUAGUGUGCUUGAAAACAGGAAUAACUCGACUCAUGUGAACACAGAGGCAUACCAAAUAGACAAAAUCACAAUCAUAUUAAAUUAACUUGUCUAAAAAUACUCCUUAAGACGUCGAAAGAAAUACUAGAUUCCUUACCAAAACCUUGAACUUUCUCCUUCACCGUUCUCCUUUCUUUCUCUUCUUCUC